ensembl:lncRNA
GUUACGUUCACAGUGUGGUGUGGUGUGUUACGUUCACGUUGUGGUGUGUUACGUUCACUGUGUGGUGUGGUGUGUUACGUUCAUGUUGUGGUGUGUUACGUUCACAGUGUGGUGUGGUGUGUUACGUUCAUGUUGUGGUGUGGUGUGUUACGUUCACAGUGUGGUGUGGUGUGUUACGUUCACGUUGUGGUGUGGUGUGUUACGUUCAUGUUGUGGUGUGGUGUGUUACGUUCAUGUUGUGGUGUGUUACGUUCACAGUGUGGUGUGGUGUGUUACGUUCACAGUGUGGUGUGUUACGUUCAUGUUGUGGUGUGUUACGUUCACAGUGUGGUGUGUUCAUGGUGUGGUGUGUUACGUUCAUGUUGUGGUGUGGUACGUUCAUGUUGUGGUGUGGUGUGUUACGUUCACGUUGUGGUGUGUUACGUUCACAGUGUGGUGUGGUGUGUUACGUUCACAGUGUGGUGUGUUACGUUCAUGUUGUGGUGUGUGUGUGGUACGUUCAUGUUGUGUUGUGGUGUGGUACGUUCAUGUUGUGGUGUGUUACGUUCACAGUGUGGUGUGGUGUGUUACGUUCACGUUGUGGUGUGUUACGUUCACUGUGUGGUGUGGUGUGUUACGUUCAUGUUGUGGUGUGUUACGUUCAUGUUGUGGUGUGGUGUGUUACGUUCAUGUUGUGGUGUGUUACGUUCACAGUGUGUGUGGUGUGUUACGUUCACAGUGUGGUGUGUUACGUUCAUGUUGUGGUGUGUUACGUUCACAUUGUGGUGUGUUACGUUCACAGUGUGGUGUGGUGUGUUACGUUCAUGUUGUGGUGUG